UACGAAGGGGGCUAGCGUUGUUCGGAAUUACUGGGCGUAAAGGGCGCGUAGGCGGCCGAUUAAGUUAGAUGUGAAAGUCCUGGGCUCAACCUGGGGACUGCAUUUAAUACUGGUUGGCUUGAAUUCGGGAGAGGAUAGCGGAAUUCCCAGUGUAGAGGUGAAAUUCGUAGAUAUCGGGAGGAACACCGGUGGCGAAGGCGGCGACCUGGGUAGAUACUGACGCUGAGGUGCGAAAGCGUGGGGAGCAAACAGG
rnacentral:rRNA from 1 species